rnacentral:lncRNA from 1 species
GCAAGAGCCCCAUCCCAACAUCCUGCUGAGCACAGAGGGCCUCUUAAUGGGCGAAGAGGAGGUGAAACGCACAGCAGAGCGGUGGGGAUCUCCCCAGCUUGGAGGGCCCACUCCCAAAGGAGCACAGCAUGGAUGGGGACGUGUCUCCUUUUGCUCCAUCCACCCAUUCCCAGUGCAGCCAUACAGGAAGAAGAGCAGUCACCCCACCGAGCUGACCCGGACAGGCAAAGCACUGAGCCCUUGGGCACGGCACACAUCCUCAGCCUGACUCAUUGCCAGGUUUAUUGCCUUUGCAGGAAGGCUGCUAUCUGAGCCAUAAAAUGAUUUGCAGAAUCUUCAAAAGCUUAUAAAGGCAGUGAUUGAUACGCUCAUCUGCUGGCCACUUCCUGUCUUUAAAAGUCUGGCUUGUAAUCAGAGCAUCUCAAAAUAAAAAGAAAGAAAAAGCCAUGUAAACACUCUGCUCGAUGUUUUCACAGCUUUCUGCUGGCACCGGCGGGCUCUGCUCCUUCCUGCAGCCAUGGGCCUGUCUGGUUAACUCGUGAGCAUCCAGAGGGACAGCUGUUCCCCAGGCCCAGCCGUGCACCAUGGGCUGUUUCUAUUUGCUGCUACUCCUGUGCCACCCAUACGCAGCCCUCCGACUCCUGCUUCUCCUUUUCCUCCCCCUCUCCUCCUCUAUUUGUGGGUAAUAUCCCAUAGUCCC